CACGUAGGAGGCGAGCGUUAUCCGGAUUCACUGGGCGUAAAGCGCGUGCAGGCGGUUCGGUAAGUUGGGCGUGAAAUCUCCCGGCUCAACUGGGAGAGGUCGUUCAAUACUACCGGACUUGAGAGCGAUAGAGGAAAAUGGAAUUCCCGGUGUAGUGGUGAAAUGCGUAGAUAUCGGGAGGAACACCAGUGGCGAAAGCGUAUUUUCUGGAUCGUUUCUGACGCUC
rnacentral:rRNA from 1 species